CCCCAAUCUUGAGGAGCUUGCUCCUUAAGGUUAGCGGCGGACGGGUGAGUAACACGUGGGCAACCUGCCUGUAAGACUGGGAUAACACCGGGAAACCGGUGCUAAUACCGGAUAAUUCUUCACCUCUCAUGAGGUGAAGCUGAAAGUCGGUUUCGGCUGACACUUACAGAUGGGCCCGCGGCGCAUUAGCUAGUNGAGUGAGGUAACGGCUCACCAAGGCGACGAUGCGUAGCCGACCUGAGAGGGUGAUCGGCCACACUGGGACUGAGACACGGCCCAGACUCCUACGGGAGGCAGCAGUAGGGAAUCUUCCGCAAUGGACGAAAGUCUGACGGAGCAACGCCGCGUGAGUGAUGAAGGCCUUCGGGUCGUAAAACUCUGUUGUUAGGGAAGAACAAGUACCGGAGUAACUGCCGGUGCCUUGACGGUACCUAACCAGAAAGCCACGGCUAACUACGUGCCA
rnacentral:rRNA from 1 species